AGGAAGUGACGAUGGGCUGUACAACUUCAAGCCCAUCCCCAGGAGCGUCCCACUUUCUCUGGUGAGCUCCACCUCCCAAGGGUUCCAUAACCUCCAAAAAAAGUGUCUGCAGCUGGAGAGCAAGUGCUGCAACACGCAAUGCUGCAAGGACGAGGACGAGGACGAGGAUGCUUCACCUUCAACCUUCUCUCUACAGCACCCAGGGCUUCCCGGAGGAGGGACUGUCUCCUGUGGUGGGUCAUGUUUUCUGAAAGGAAUAGCAUGCAUUAUUUCCAUGUCAUGGAUUCUCUUUAAGCCUUGCCACACCCACUCCUGGUGAUGAAGUCUGUGUGCCUUCCCUUGAACAUGAGCAGGUCCUGGUGGUAACUGUGCUCAGUAAAAUGAGAAAUAAAGAAGGCUGCAGGACUUUCAAGUUAGGUGAGGAAAAACCUACAGACUCUCUUGAUUUCCGUCUUCCUAGAUGGCUGUUCUAGGAACAUAGUUGCCAUGUUGGGAGAAAAAUCUAAAAACAGAGAGAUUGUGCAGGUGUCCCAGUUCACAGGCCCAGCUUGUGGCAAAAUUGACCCCUUUGGAUGCGUAGUUGAGAAAACAUUCAAGAAGACUCCAGGCCCAGAGUCUGACUACAAUAAGACCCUGAAGAAAAACCACCCAGCUGAGCCCAGCCAAGCCUAGAAUCAUGGGGCACGGUCACAGACAUUGUCACUAUUUGAAGUCACCACGUUUGGGGCAUUCGUUAUACAUCACGGUAUGAGUCUUAGUUUAUAAUGAAGGUUAACCAGGUAGUAGAUAAAUCAAGUUCUAGAUAACAAGGAUGCUACAUACAAAGAAAACUUGCAUGAAGUAGAUCCCUCUGACAUAGAUUGAAGGAAGUUGCAAGGUCUGCAAGAUUAAACAAUACAGAGGCAGGUUCCAUGCUAAAUCAGGGAGUUAUGGAGGGUUUCAAGCAAGGGAAAGACCUCCAGGACUUAGUAAGAAGCCGCAAUAUGGACAAUGGGAUGAAGAAAGUAGAGACUAUUUAUGACCAUCUAUACCAGUGCCAACGUCUUGGGCAAUGAGCAGAUCGGAGGUUAUACCAUGAACCUACUCAGGAGAAGGCAGUGCUGGGGUAGUGGGAUUAUGAGUCCUGUGGUAUUUCAAACACACGGUCAGUUCUGUGGCUGGAUGAAUACACGAGGUAAAGAGAAGAGGGAAAGUCUCUUGGGCUUCUGAAUUGCAAGGCGUUGUAGUUUCAUUUGCAUUGCUGUGGUAAAACACCCCCAAAAAGUAGCUUUAAGGAAGGGUGUGUUCAGCUUACAAUUCCAGGUCACAGACCAUCACUGCAGUACCUCAAAGCAGGAACUUGAAAUAACUGGUCGCAUUCAUGGUCAAGAGCAGAGAGAGAAUGAAUGCAUAUGUGCCUGUAAGUGCUCAGCUCUCUCUCCCUGGAUGCAGUCUGAGAUGCCCUGCCUAAGGGAUGGAGCCAUCCACAGUGGACUGGACCUUCCCACAUCAGUGAACACAAUCAAGACAACUCCACCACAGACAUGUGCACCAGUCAAUCUGAUUUUGGCAGCCACUCCAUCGAGACUCUCUUCCUAGGUACUGAGGAUUCCGGACUCAGGUCCUCAUGCUGUGCUGCAAGAGUUUACCCACUGAGCCAUCAUCUCAGCCCUCCCCUGGAGAGAACAUCAAAAGUAUCAAUUCCAUUGUAUCCAAUCCUAACCAAAGCCCACUCUCUGGGGAGCAGAGCGUGGCUCAGGCACCUACAGUCUGAAACCUUCCCUAGGCAGUCCACAGCAGGGGCUGCUGCUGGCACUCACCCAACGCUGGUGAUAACUCACUCGACCACAACAAUUUAAACAUGCGUCUCUCCCG
ensembl:lincRNA Gm11690 predicted gene 11690